CAACAAAAUCCUAAUUUUAAUAGAAUACUAACAAUGCUAAAUAAGCUUUAAUCAAAUUUAAAGAAACCUCAAGGAAAUUCCAAAGAAACAAUAAGAAAUCUCAAAGAAAUAUUAGAAUGAUUACAAACAUAUUUCAAAUACAAUUCAAUUUAAUCUCAAUUUAAUCCUAGUUGAAAUCUUAUUGGACUUCAUUCAAACUUUAGGCCAAAAACUAACUAAAUAGUGAAUCCUAAAGAAACUCAAAUAAAAUCCUAUAUCCUAAAUCAAAUCCUAAUCAAAUCCUAACCAAACCUUAAACCUUGAACCAAACCCUAAACCCUAAAUCAAAUCCUAACCAAAUCAUAAAUCUUAAACUAAAUCCUAAUCCUAAAUCAAAGCCUAACCAAACCCUAACCAAAUCCUAAUCCUAACCAAAUUCUAAUCCUAAUUCUAAACCCUAAACCAAAUGCUAAUCAAAUCCUAAACCUAAAUCAAAUCCUAACCAAAUCCUAAGCCUAAAUCAAAUCCUAACCAAAUCCUAGUAAUUUCUACAACAAAUUUAAACCUCAAUAACUAAUGAAUGAACCAUUGAUCUUAAUUCAAAUUUUACAAACUUCUUAAAAACUAAGUUGAAAACAAGUACAAAAAUUUUGAAAAGAAUCCAAAUUAUUAAAUAGACGAUAAUCUCAAAAAUGUGCUCGGGUAUUAGCUGAUCUCCUUCUCCAAUCUUAAUGCCAAUCUCUCAAAGCCAAUAUCUCUCUUUUUGACUAUUUGAUUGAUAUCAAAAUCCUUAUACACAUAGAAAAACAAGUCUAAUAUCUUCU
rnacentral:lncRNA from 1 species